rnacentral:sRNA from 1 species
CGCCUUUUUGCUAUGCACAGGAUUUUUUGAUUCGAACCUGCAGCAGGUUCGGGUCGAACGCAGUGAGACAACGGAGCCGUUUACGGCGACGGCCCGAAGGGCGAGCGAAGCGAGUCAUCCUGCACGCCCCACCA